UACGUAGGGUGCGAGCGUUGUCCGGAAUUAUUGGGCGUAAAGAGCUCGUGGGCGGUGUGUCGCGUCGGCCGUGAAAACCUGCAGCUUAACUGUGGGCGUGCGGUCGAUACGGGCAUCACUGGAGUUCGGCAGGGGAGACUGGAAUUCCUGGUGUAGCGGUGAAAUGCGCAGAUAUCAGGAGGAACACCGAUGGCGAAGGCAGGUCUCUGGGCCAUAACUGACGCUGAGAAGCGAAAGAAUGGGGAGCGAACAGG
rnacentral:rRNA from 1 species